AAUGUUUGGUUACACUUUGCUUGAAGGUAUCUGCAUAAAAGUGACAUGACCCUGUCAUAAACAUAUGACACAGUAAUGAACACAU